UUAAGCAUAUCAAUAAGCGGAGGAGAAGAAACUAACAAGGAUUCCCCUAGUAACGGCGAGCGAAGCGGGAAGAGCUCAAAUUUGAAAGCUGGCACCUUCGGUGUCCGCGUUGUAAUCUCGAGACGUGUUUUCCGUGUGGCGCUAUGGACAAGUCCCUUGGAACAGGGCAUCGUAGAGGGUGAAAAUCCCGUACUUGCCAUGGCUGUACCAUGCUUUGUGAUACACGCUCUAAGAGUCGAGUUGUUUGGGAUUGCAGCUCAAAAUGGGUGGUAGACUCCAUCUAAAGCUAAAUAUCGGGGAGAGACCGAUAGCGAACAAGUACCGUGAGGGAAAGAUGAAAAGCACUUUGGAAAGAGAGUUAAAAGUACGUGAAAUUGUCGAAAGGGAAGCGCUUGAAGUCAGCCAUGCUGCUUGAGACUCAGCCUUGCUUUUGCUUGGUGUAUUUCUCGGUAGCAAGCCAGCAUUGGUUCGAGUCGUCGGAGAAGGGUAUGAGAAAUGUGGCAUCCUCGGAUGUGUUAUAGACUUGUACUGGAUACGACGAUUUGGAUCAAGGAACGCAGUGUGCCUCUGGCGGGUCUUCGGACACCUUCACACUU
rnacentral:rRNA from 1 species